rnacentral:rRNA from 1 species
CCCACACUGGAACUGACACACGGUCCAGACUCCUACGGGAGGCAGCAGUGAGGAAUUUUGCGCAAUGGGGGAAACCCUGACGCAGCAACGCCGCGUGAGUGAUGAAGGCUUUCGGGUCGUAAAGCUCUGUCAAGUGGGAAGAAACCACGAGGUGAUAAUAUCGCUUUGUGCUGACGGUACCACUGAAGGAAGCACCGGCUAACUCCGUGCCAGCAGCCGCGGUAAUACGGGGGGUGCAAGCGUUAUUCGGAAUCAUUGGGCGUAAAGGGCGCGUAGGCGGUUUGUUAAGUCAGAUGUGAAAGCCCGGGGCUCAACCCCGGAAGUGCAUUUGAUACUGGCGGACUUGAGUAUGGGAGAGGGAAGUGGAAUUCCUGGUGUAGAGGUGAAAUUCGUAGAUAUCAGGAGGAACACCGGUGGCGAAGGCGACUUCCUGGACCAAUACUGACGCUGAGGCGCGAAGGCGUGGGUAGCAAACAGGAUUAGAUACCCUGGUAGUCCACGCAGUAAACGGUGAUCACUAGGUGUAGCGGGUAUUGACCCCUGCUGUGCCGCAGUUAACGCAUUAAGUGAUCCGCCUGGGGAGUACGGCCGCAAGGUUAAAACUCAAAGGAAUUGACGGGGGCCCGCACAAGCGGUGGAGCAUGUGGUUUAAUUCGACGCAACGCGAAGAACCUUACCUGGGUUUGACAUCUCGGGGAUUUUUUGGAAACAAGAAAGUGCCCUUCGGGGAGCCCGAAGACAGGUGCUGCAUGGCUGUCGUCAGCUCGUGUCGUGAGAUGUUGGGUUAAGUCCCGCAACGAGCGCAACCCUUAUCUUUAGUUACCAUCACUUCGGGUGGGGACUCUAAAGAUACUGCCCCGGUCAACGGGGAGGAAGGUGGGGAUGACGUCAAGUCCUCAUGGCCUUUAUGCCCAGGGCUACACACGUGCUACAAUUGGCGAUACAAAGGGUAGCGAGCCUGCGAAGGUGAGCCAAUCCCAAAAAGUCGUUCUUAGUUCGGAUUGGAGUCUGCAACUCGACUCCAUGAAGCUGGAAUCGCUAGUAAUCGCGGAUCAGCACGCCGCGGUGAAUACGUUCCCGGGCCUUGUACACACCGCCCGUCACACCAUGAGAGUUGGUUGUACCAGAAGUUGUUGGGCUAACCCGCAAGGGAGGCAGGCACCUAAGGUAUGGCUGAUGAUUGGGGUGAAGUCGAAACAAGGUA